ACAUAUAUAAAUAUAGACAGAUAUAUGUAAAUAGACAAAACUGAUUUUCACCAUCAAAUGUGUUUUUAUAAUGUGUGGAUUCUUGAAAAUAUGUAUUCUGCAUGAGCCACACAUUAAACCUCACUUCUAAAAACAUAAAUGAAAAUCAGGGAACUCUGUGUGCCAAGGUGGAUGAAAUUCAGAAGAUAAUUUAAUGCUAAUAUUUUAACAGGAUAAACAUAUUUAAACAUGGAGAAGUUGUUGUUGCACUCCUUAAACACGCUCAAGUAUCUGCAUCCAGCCUUAUUCAUGUGCCAUGUUGUUUUUCAAACGUGUUUGAGUCAGACUCUUGACAUGUUCUUUGUUCACUUCAGAUGCUUGCCACUAGUCAGUUGUACUCUUCUGUUACAAAUAGGGUUGGGAAUCGAAAAUCUAUUUAAAUUCCAGAAUUCUAUACUGAAGGCCAGGAAUUGAAUAUUUGUAGUAGAAUAACUAUUUCAGUUCUACCUAUCAGUUCCUGUGUGCACAUCCUUUUUUUAGGUGGUGAAAAGGGACUGUUAAAUAGUUUGUUAUUCAAAAACACUGAUUCAUCCAGUAAUGAAACAAGUAAAUCUUGAGUGAGUCACUGAAUCACUCAGUUCAAUUCAAUUCCAUUUCAAUUACAUGAGAUUCCAUUGUGGCUCUAUUUUGGACACAGACAGCUCAUUAUUGAGUGCAGUUUUUAUGUAGUUGGCUUUUUGUUCAUGGUGUUCAGUAGCCAUGAAAUUUUUUGGAAAAAGAGACAGAAUAAAUAUGUUUGACUUCAGUUUAAUCACAUUGGAAACGAAACUAGGAAUCGAUAAGAAUCGGAACUGUUAUUGAUAAUUUUCAAACAAAACCCAACCCUAUUACAAACGCUUAUUGACCUGCCUGUACUAAUACUGCAUGGCUUUGGUUCCUCAUUAUGUGCACUGCGGGGCUCUUAACACCUCAUUUGAAGCUGCUUAUUUCUCUGCAUAUUCAUUUCACCUGCUUAAAGCAUUUAGCUUUUGUAAAAGGCUAAUCAGGAAAUUAGAAAAUCCUUAAUAGUAGUGCUUAAUAGUUAAUAUAUUCCUUCUUACUCAAUAACAUUGUAAAGCUAAGAUUUGUUACAGAUUUAAAGUUGUGAGCAUUUCUGUUUGCAUUUUGCUUUAGACUUGCCUCAAUUCCCCUGCUUCCUUCAUGGUUCGAUUUCUAUAGAGGAAAGUACACUCACAUUCUUUGUUUUUAUCUCGGUCACAUUUUUCAUCAACUUCUCUAUCCCUGUUUCUGUUCCUUUUCAUUUUCCUUUGGAUAAGCAGUUUUCAGUGUGAUUAACUCCUGUGGUGUGUCUGAAUGAAAUUUUUCUGUGAAGAGAUUAUUGAAUAUUGGGCCACUGAGACUGAGCUGCAUCAGCCUGUGUUUCCUGGUGUCUCAUGCCCAGUAAAACACUCAUUAUUGUCACUAUACUUAUUUAAAGCAUCGAUCCUCUCUCUUCUGUACCUGAGCUUUGAUGCAGCCAAGGCUAGUCUACGGUCUGCAUUGACCUUUUUUUUGUUUAGUGUGAUGAGAACCCUUUGUGCCCUAACUUAUUCACCUGUCCCUUAAACAUUAGGUUACACUGCACUGUGAGCUUUUUUUUUUUUUAACCUAUAAAAUGUGCGUACUUCAAUCUUGUAUCAAGCUUCAAUUUGAAUGCAUUCUAUUCACUACGAGAUCCUCCCUGUUGUUCAGAUUCUGCCAUACAACUUCCAACAUUACAGUCCUUCUGUGCCAUGAUUGACCUAUGAACUUUCACCUUUGUUUUACACCUGAACUAGCUGUACAUGCUGUGUGCUGUGUUGACUCCACAUUUGAUCUUGGCAGGUUGACUCAAGAUUGAGUAGAAAAAGCAGGAGAAUGGAUAGAGUGAAAGAGAGCGCUCACAACAAAAACAAGUGUGUGCUGUCCGCUCUGUCCGAUCACACACAGUCAAGACUUGUGUGUGCUUUAACUCACGCGCCUGGUCCAUGUCCUAAGUUGAAAAACGUACUGACUCAAGUGUCAGGAACAAAAACAAGUUGGCCAUCCUCACAUACUAAGAGAGGGAGAGAAUGAAAGGGGGAAAAAACGAUUAAAAGAAAAGCAUGACCCUGAUAUAUGGGUACAGUUGGUCAGCUUUUAUGUCCUCAUUUCUCUCCCUCCAUCUUGGUUUGUUGUUCAGCAGGAAAGAGGGAUCGAAAUAAGUGUGGAAGCUCUUCGCAUGGAGCAACACCCCAUAAAAUGACGCACCACAUUUUUAUUUGAUUUUUAGAAACAUACUGUUUGUAAGAAGAAAUUUACAACAUCUUCAACAUAUAAUAUCUGAAUUUCUGAAUACAUGUUCUUUUUCUGAAAUGCUCUGGGAUGCACAAAAUGCACAAUAAACAUAAUGCUUACCUUCACUGUGCCACUUAUUAUAGGUACCUUCUGUCUACUGAAACUGGAAGCUUCUGGAAUGUCCUGUAUUAGUUUUGAGGAGCUCUGAUAAUGUUUGUUUAAUUUAACUAAAAAACUGCUCUGUAAAUGUGUGCUGUGUUUAAAAGAACGUUAAAUAACUCUUGUGUUUCGAGUCUCCUUUACAACCUGCAUUACUAGUUAUAUUUGGGAGACCACCAUUAUAGCCACAAUGUCAGCCUUAAUUGAAAUGCUUGUUUUGGCUGGUUUCCUUGUCAAGUGUUACGUUAAUUCUUCAUCAGAAAUGGAUAAUCUUAAAAAAGUGUUUAGUCAAGACCAUUGUGUGAAAUUUUUUUUCAAUUAUAUGAAUCAAUCUUUUAGUACAAAAAUCCUUAUAGGCAUGGUGAAAGAUGCCAUACAUUGCCAAAUAAUUAGCAGCAAUGUUCUAUACAUGCAUACAGUUACACUGUCUAGCACAUUAUUCCUGGUCCACAUGUCUCGCAUUUGAACAAUCUUGUAAUUACUGUACCGUUCAAAAAUUUAAGGGGAUAAAAAUGGUCUGAUACUUUUUCUAUAUCAAAAGAUUUUAAAAUGUAGUUUAUUCCUGAGAUGCCCUUUUUUUAAGGUGUCCUUUUUUUACCAUGUAAAUAUACAUAUAAAUACGAAGUAAUAUUAAUUAACUACAUUGUACUUACUAUAUGGUUAGGCUUUGGAUUAGGGUUUCUUGCAUGUAAUUAACUUAUUAUUAUAAUAGUGAAAACAUGUCAUAUGUAACUAGAACACUUUAAAUAUUAUGUUAUCUGUUCCUAUUUUUGUGAUGGCAAAGCUAAUUUGCAACAGCCAUGAUUCCAGUCUUCAGUGUUAAGUUAUUACUUUCUUUAAUGUGCCGAUUUUGGUGGUCAAGAAACAUU